rnacentral:lncRNA from 1 species
AGGGCUUGCUCUUUGGCCUUUGCAAUCUGAUCAUCCAUGUCUGAUAAAAGCUCAGAGAGAUCUACUUUCCCUAGAAUUCCAUUAAAAAAUAAAUGUUACUCAUUUUUAAACUAUAUAGUGAUUAUUUGGUUAGGAAAUAUGUUAUUAAUCUGAUCAAUAACCGUAAGAUCAAUAUCGACAAAAGAAAAAAGAAGAACAAGAAAUAAGUCUAGGUUAUGAAAAAGAAAAUAAAAGAAAAUAAAGAAAGAAAAGAGGGGGGCAAAAAAAAGGGAGGAUCGUACCUGGGUCUCUCGCGCCUCCUUCUCGGUCAAGUGGUCGGAUCGGGGUAAGGGAGGUCCCCGGAGACUAAAACUCACUCCGGCAUCACUUCGGAGGAGGUUUAGCCCCUCCCUCUCCCACUGCUCCCACCCUGGAGAAGGGCACCCCUCGCCCGCAGUCG